GGGGGCAACUCCAGUCAGUGGCGAACGGGUGAGUAAUGCAUCGGAACGUACCUCGUAGUGGGGGAUAACGCCGCGAAAGCGGCGCUAAUACCGCAUAUGCUCUGAGGAGGAAAGUGGGGGACCGCAGGGCCUCACGCUAUGAGAGCGGCCGAUGUCCGAUUAGCUUGUUGGCGUGGUAAAGGCCCACCAAGGCGACGAUCGGUAGCUGGUCUGAGAGGAUGAUCAGCCACACUGGGACUGAGACACGGCCCAGACUCCUACGGGAGGCAGCAGUGGGGAAUUUUGGACAAUGGGGGCAACCCUGAUCCAGCCAUGCCGCGUGCGGGAAGAAGGCCUUCGGGUUGUAAACCGCUUUUAGCCGGAAAGAAAAGGCGGAGGUCAAUACCCUCCGUUCUUGACGGUACCGGCGGAAUAAGCACCGGCUAACUACGUGCCAGCAGCCGCGGUAAUACGUAGGGUGCGAGCGUUA
rnacentral:rRNA from 1 species